rnacentral:rRNA from 1 species
AAUUUUGGACAAUGGGGGAAACCCUGCUCCAGCCAUCCCGCGUGUAUGAUGAAGGCCUUCGGGUUGUAAUGUACCUUUGGCAGAGAAGAAAAGGUAUCCUCUAAUACUGGAUACUGCUGACGGUAUCUGCAGAAUAAGCACCGGCUCACUACGUGCCAGCAGCCGCGGUAAUACGUAGGGCGCAAGCGUUAAUCGGAAUUACUGGGCGUAAAACGUGUGUAGGCGGUUCGGAAAGAAAGAUGUGAAAUCACAGGGCUGAACAUUGGAACUACAUUUUUAACUGCCGAGCUAGAGUAUGUCAGAAGAGGGUAGAAUUCCACGUGUAGCAGUGAAAAGCGUAGAUAUGUGGAGGAAGACCGAUGGCGAAGGCAGCACCCUGGGAUAAUACUGACGCUCAGACACGAAAGCGUGGGGAGCAAACAGG